rnacentral:rRNA from 1 species
UUAAGCGACUAAGCGUACACGGUGGAUGCCCUGGCAGUCAGAGGCGAUGAAGGACGUGCUAAUCUGCGAAAAGCGUCGGUAAGGUGAUAUGAACCGUUAUAACCGGCGAUGUCCGAAUGGGGAAACCCAGUGCAAUUCGUUGCACUAUCGUUAACUGAAUACAUAGGUUAACGAGGCGAACCGGGGGAACUGAAACAUCUAAGUACCCCGAGGAAAAGAAAUCAACCGAGAUUCCCCCAGUAGCGGCGAGCGAACGGGGAGCAGCCCAGAGUCUGAAUCAGCUUGUGUGUUAGUGGAACGGUCUGGAAAGUCCGACGGUACAGGGUGAUAGUCCCGUACACCAAAAUGCACAGGUUGUGAACUCGAAGAGUAGGGCGGGACACGUGGUAUCCUGUCUGAAUAUGGGGGGACCAUCCUCCAAGGCUAAAUACUCCUGACUGACCGAUAGUGAACCAGUACCGUGAGGGAAAGGCGAAAAGAACCCCGGCGAGGGGAGUGAAAAAGAACCUGAAACCGUGUACGUACAAGCAGUGGGAGCACCUUCGGGUGUGACUGCGUACCUUUUGUAUAAUGGGUCAGCGACUUAUAUUCUGUAGCAAGGUUAACCGUAUAGGGGAGCCGCAGGGAAACCGAGUCUUAACUGGGCGUUAAGUUGCAGGGUAUAGACCCGAAACCCGGUGAUCUAGCCAUGGGCAGGUUGAAGGUUGGGUAACACUAACUGGAGGACCGAACCGACUAAUGUUGAAAAAUUAGCGGAUGACUUGUGGCUGGGGGUGAAAGGCCAAUCAAACCGGGAGAUAGCUGGUUCUCCCCGAAAGCUAUUUAGGUAGCGCCUCGUGAACUCAUCUUCGGGGGUAGAGCACUGUUUCGGCUAGGGGGUCAUCCCGACUUACCAACCCGAUGCAAACUACGAAUACCGAAGAAUGUUAUCACGGGAGACACACGGCGGGUGCUAACGUCCGUCGUGAAGAGGGAAACAACCCAGACCGCCAGCUAAGGUCCCAAAGUCAUGGUUAAGUGGGAAACGAUGUGGGAAGGCACAGACAGCCAGGAUGUUGGCUUAGAAGCAGCCAUCAUUUAAAGAAAGCGUAAUAGCUCACUGGUCGAGUCGGCCUGCGCGGAAGAUGUAACGGGGCUAAACCAUGCACCGAAGCUGCGGCAGCGACACUAUGUGUUGUUGGGUAGGGGAGCGUUCUGUAAGCCUGCGAAGGUGUCCUGUGAGGCAUGCUGGAGGUAUCAGAAGUGCGAAUGCUGACAUAAGUAACGAUAAAGCGGGUGAAAAGCCCGCUCGCCGGAAGACCAAGGGUUCCUGUCCAACGUUAAUCGGGGCAGGGUGAGUCGACCCCUAAGGCGAGGCCGAAAGGCGUAGUCGAUGGGAAACAGGUUAAUAUUCCUGUACUUGGUGUUACUGCGAAGGGGGGACGGAGAAGGCUAUGUUAGCCGGGCGACGGUUGUCCCGGUUUAAGCAUGUAGGCUGGUUAUCCAGGCAAAUCCGGAUAAUCAAGGCUGAGGUGUGAUGACGAGGCACUACGGUGCUGAAGUAACAAAUGCCCUGCUUCCAGGAAAAGCCUCUAAGCAUCAGGUAACAUCAAAUCGUACCCCAAACCGACACAGGUGGUCAGGUAGAGAAUACCAAGGCGCUUGAGAGAACUCGGGUGAAGGAACUAGGCAAAAUGGUGCCGUAACUUCGGGAGAAGGCACGCUGGUGUGUAGGUGAAGUCCCUGCGGAUGGAGCUGAGACCAGUCGAAGAUACCAGCUGGCUGCAACUGUUUAUUAAAAACACAGCACUGUGCAAACACGAAAGUGGACGUAUACGGUGUGACGCCUGCCCGGUGCCGGAAGGUUAAUUGAUGGGGUUAUCCGUAAGGAGAAGCUCUUGAUCGAAGCCCCGGUAAACGGCGGCCGUAACUAUAACGGUCCUAAGGUAGCGAAAUUCCUUGUCGGGUAAGUUCCGACCUGCACGAAUGGCGUAAUGAUGGCCAGGCUGUCUCCACCCGAGACUCAGUGAAAUUGAACUCGCUGUGAAGAUGCAGUGUACCCGCGGCAAGACGGAAAGACCCCGUGAACCUUUACUAUAGCUUGACACUGAACAUUGAGCCUUGAUGUGUAGGAUAGGUGGGAGGCUUUGAAGCGUGGACGCCAGUCUGCGUGGAGCCAACCUUGAAAUACCACCCUUUAAUGUUUGAUGUUCUAACGUUGGCCCCUGACCGGGGUUGCGGACAGUGUCUGGUGGGUAGUUUGACUGGGGCGGUCUCCUCCCAAAGCGUAACGGAGGAGCACGAAGGUUAGCUAAUCCUGGUCGGACAUCAGGAGGUUAGUGCAAUGGCAUAAGCUAGCUUGACUGCGAGCGUGACGGCGCGAGCAGGUGCGAAAGCAGGUCAUAGUGAUCCGGUGGUUCUGAAUGGAAGGGCCAUCGCUCAACGGAUAAAAGGUACUCCGGGGAUAACAGGCUGAUACCGCCCAAGAGUUCAUAUCGACGGCGGUGUUUGGCACCUCGAUGUCGGCUCAUCACAUCCUGGGGCUGAAGUAGGUCCCAAGGGUAUGGCUGUUCGCCAUUUAAAGUGGUACGCGAGCUGGGUUUAGAACGUCGUGAGACAGUUCGGUCCCUAUCUGCCGUGGGCGCUGGAGAAUUGAGGGGGGCUGCUCCUAGUACGAGAGGACCGGAGUGGACGCAUCACUGGUGUUCGGGUUGUCAUGCCAAUGGCACUGCCCGGUAGCUAAAUGCGGAAGAGAUAAGUGCUGAAAGCAUCUAAGCACGAAACUUGCCCCGAGAUGAGUUCUCCCUGAGACUUUAAGUCUCCUGAAGGAACGUUAAAGACGAUGACGUUGAUAGGCCGGGUGUGUAAGCGCAGCGAUGCGUUGAGCUAACCGGUACUAAUGAACCGUGAGGCUUAACCUU